rnacentral:ribozyme from 1 species
CGGCGGCGGCGGGCAAUCAGGUUUUGCAGUGCUCUGCAUCGUCGCUUGUGGCACUUCGCGCCCACUU